rnacentral:rRNA from 1 species
AGCAGCAGCCGCGGUAAUACGGAGGAUCCAAGCGUUAUCCGGAAUCAUUGGGUUUAAAGGGUCCGUAGGCGGUCUUGUAAGUCAGUGGUGAAAGCCCAUCGCUCAACGGUGGAACGGCCAUUGAUACUGCAGGACUUGAAUUAUUGGGAAGUAACUAGAAUAUGUAGUGUAGCGGUGAAAUGCUUAGAGAUUACAUGGAAUACCAAUUGCGAAGGCAGGUUACUACCAAUUGAUUGACGCUGAUGGACGAAAGCGUGGGUAGCGAACAGGAUUAGAUACCCCUGUAGUCCCUGUCUCUUAUAA